CCUACGGGUGGCAGCAGUGGGGAAUAUUGGGCAAUGGGCGCAAGCCUGACCCAGCAACGCCGCGUGAAGGAAGAAGGCUCUCGGGUUGUAAACCUCUUUUAAGAGGGAAGAGCAGAAGACGGUACCUCUUGAAUAAGCCACGGCUAACUACGUGCCAGCAGCCGCGGUAAUACGUAGGUGGCAAGCGUUGUCCGGAUUUACUGGGUGUAAAGGGCGUGUAGCCGGGCUGACAAGUCAGAUGUGAAAUCCCGGGGCUCAACCACGGAACUGCUGUGGAAACUGUGGAACUGGAGUACAGGAGGGGCAGGCGGAAUUCCUGGUGUAGCGGUGAAAUGCGUAGAUAUCAGGAGGAACACCGGCGGCGAAGGCGGCCUGCUGGACUGAAACUGACGUUGAGGCUCGAAAGCGUGGGGAGCGAACAGGAUUAGAUACCCGUGUAGUC
rnacentral:rRNA from 1 species